UUUGUUACCUGGCAGGGGGCGAUUCCAUGAUCAGGGAAGGUGGAUUCCCAAGGGUGAGGCUCACCCAUUGCACUCCGGGCGUACUGACCCCCUGUGAUUUCCCCAAAUGUGGGAAACUCAACUGCAUAAUUUUAUGGUAGUGGGGGGACUGCAUGCAUGCCUUCACCCC